rnacentral:rRNA from 1 species
ACGAACGCUGGCGGCGUGCUUAACACAUGCAAGUCGAACGGAAAGGCCCUGCUUUUGUGGGGUGCUCGAGUGGCGAACGGGUGAGUAACACGUGAGUAACCUGCCCUUGACUUUGGGAUAACUUCAGGAAACUGGGGCUAAUACCGGAUAGGAGCUCCUGCUGCAUGGUGGAGGUUGGAAAGUUUCGGCGGUUGGGGAUGGACUCGCGGCUUAUCAGCUUGUUGGUGGGGUAGUGGCUUACCAAGGCUUUGACGGGUAGCCGGCCUGGGAGGGUGACCGGCCACAUUGGGACUGAGGUACGGCCCAGACUCCUACGGGAGGCAGAAGUGGGGAAUAUUGCACAAUGGGCGGAAGCCUGAUGCAGCAACGCCGCGUGCGGGAUGACGGCCUUCGGGUUGUAAACCGCUUUCGCCUGUGACGAAGCGUGAGUGACGGUAAUGGGUAAAGAAGCACCGGCCAACUACGUG